CCUACUGCUAAUGUAGCCUCAAUUUGGUUUUAGUGUUGCAAAGAACGUCAAGUGCAGACAAUCUUGAGGAUCAAUGAUAUCUUUUGCUAUACUAGAUGAAUCACUAGUAUAUUCAAACAAUUGAUACCUUGGACAAAAGAAGAGGUCAGAACGUACUCUUAUCUUGGUGUGGAACUAAAUGGUGGAAUGUUGCAUAAAGAGUCUUUGGGAGAUCGAGCAUGGAGUACAAAGCAAUGCAGCAAGCUAUAUUUUCUUUCAUCAUGUAAAAAUGCUUUUUAGUCUAUGAG